GUGCAAAUGAUGGAAACAUUAUUGAACUGAAGAAAGUGAUGCUUUCAAAGGAACCACUGAUGCAC